UUCCAAGCAUCAAGUGCACAAUCAACGGAUACUCUUUUCAGAAGACACUCUAAGACACCGGAUCUGACGUCCAUGGCCGCAGUCACUUAUCAGCUCCUGCAUAGAACCAUGCCCCUACAACCAACAUACAUUCAGCUCCAGAUGAUUUUUAGGUCAUUGACAUGGGAGAAGACGAGUAUGAUCCACCCACCAUCCUUGGAAGACCGUUCCUCAACACUAUCAAAACCAUCAUUAGAACCAGAGAAGUCCACAUGCAAUUCCCCUCCGAAGAAGGCGACGCAACCGAAACCAGAGGAGGCAAAUCAUCA
rnacentral:lncRNA from 1 species